CAAAACUGACUGAGGGAUGUAUUGUGGUUUUCGAGCGUGAUAUAAUUACAGGGUUUUCUGUAAUCUCUUUUGGAAAAAGGAAACGUAUACUAUGCAGAAUGUUAAUUGGGCUUUGUAAUUACUGUUAUCAAAUUAGACUUUCGUAUCUUAACCCCAACCCAAAACUUACCACGUUGGGAAUAAAGAAAAAAAAAACAUAAUUGUAAAAUGGUCGAGCAAAAACAUGGGCCCUAAAUUUAUCUCCACCGUUGGAUUCCAUCUCGAGAUCAGAGAGAUUAAGAUGAAAACACUUAUAAAACAAAUCUCAGCUAGGGAUUCAAAUCGGAGAAUAAAUAUCCGGAUAGCUUGACUAAAACCCCGAACCCCUAAAGGAAGAUCAGAUCCGCCAAAGAGAAUGCCCCCGCCUCCGAAUCCAAACUCCUUGUGGCCUGAUCGUAGGUCGUCUCCGGCGAAAUGUCAAGGUAGUUCAAAUUAACUAAAAUUUGGCUAGCUGUUACAAUUAGAUCGAUUUCUCUCGAGCUCAUCAUCAGGUCUGUGAUGCUCGGUGAAAGCUCCAAGCAAAGGAGCAAGUUGAAGCACGCUGAUAGGCAGCUCAGUUACCAGUGCGGCUUUUAUUUUUGUCGAGAUACACACAACGAGCAAAUAAUAGUUCUUUUGGAUCCCAGCCAAAAGAACCUGAUGGUAAAAAGUGAAUAGCCAAAAGUAUCUGUGUAAUUGGUAUGGUUCAUAUCCCGGAAAAUGCGGCCCUGAUGGAAACAAGAAGUGUCAGGAUGAAAGGAAGGUGUCAAUAGUAACAUUCGAGCGUUGCGACUGUGUGAACACCAUUUUUCGAAAGAAACACUAUCAUGACUGCACUUGUUAUAUUAAACCUCCUUGUCGGAAAAACUAAAGACAACAUGCCUGCUAUUGUUAUAAGAAACCUCCUUGUCGGCAAUGCAGUCUUCUAAUCUUACCAAUAAAAUACAUUUACUGAUAAGUAUAAAACUAGAGCUUGAUCCACACAGAUUUUUAAAUGACAUUUCUAAAUCCAUAAAUUAUUUGUAUA